rnacentral:lncRNA from 1 species
UCUUGUGGAGAAUCACUUACUAGUNUUCUUCUUUUAUCUUUGUAAAUAUGUAAAAUUUUUGUUUAGCUUUGUUUUAGAAGCUUAGUAGCUUUUAGAGUAAAGUAGUGCACCAUAAACGUUGAUGUAGGUGAAUAUGUGCUUAAAAUGGGUCAUAGGAAGCCUUUGGAACAUGUCAACAUCAAGGAAGGCUCCUAUACAUUGAACUUGGAUGGUAGUUAGGGGGGAAGGCUCCCAUUCAUCCCCCCUUGCCAUAGGAAGCUUUUAGUUCCUUUCCAGUGCAUUGAAUGCUAGCCUACUCCUUCACCUAAAAAGGAGAGGCAACCUUGUAUAAUUUUUUAGAACUAUUUUGAAUGCUAGAGUUUCUUUGCCAAAAUUGCAAGUCUCCUUCUCCUUAGUUUUCACUCUAAGAAAUGUCUUUCUCUAGACUUCUUCUUACUUUCUCUUUCAAGGUUGGCCUCACCUCCUAGAAGGACUUCUACCUAGACCAUCCAACACCAUCAACCACAUCUCUUCAUCUUGAAAAGCUUCCGCAACAUUCAUCAUCUCACAUGGAGUCCAUCCUUUGAAGAGUUUCAUCAACACACCUUGGAGUGCAUCUCUUGUUGAAGAAGC